rnacentral:rRNA from 1 species
CCUCCUUCCACCCCCCCGCAGUCGAUCCCGCCUCCGUCGACCCAUCCCGCUACCCCUCCUGGGUCCUCCUCGACAGCAGAGCCUACUUCGACGACCCCGUCAACGGCACCACCGUGAAGGCCACGACGAGCACGGGCCACAACUUCGAGGUCACUUUUUGUCUCGCCCACCCGCCUGCCGUCUCCUACUUGUACGUCCACUUUCCCGGAAUCAACGUACUAGAGUGUUGCACCACGGAGCCCCGCGUCAUUUCCUCCGCCAAUGACCUCGCGCUCCUAUGCUUCCCCUUCAGAACUGGCACAUCGAGCACCUACGACUACUUCGUCUACAGGGCUGCCUCCGGCAAGCCCACCAUCAGAUCGGUCCCGUGUCCUCCUCCAACCUACAGGCACUCAUGGCACGCAGCCAUCGUAUCCCGCGAGGAAGGCAGUUUUUUGGUCGCUGAUCUUUCCCUGGGUCGGGACCUUGGGCACUACAACCUGCACAUCUUCUCGUCGGAGACAGACGAGUGGAGCACCAAACAUGUGCAGCUGAAGGAGCCUCCUGGUAUCCUGCCAAAGCUAAUUCACAAGGUGAUCUCUCUUGGAGAAGGCACAAUAGGAUGGGUCGACCUCUGGCGCGGCAUUGUUGUCUGUGAUGUGCUUCAGAAGGAUCCUGUUCUCCGCUUCAUCCCGCUGCCCAGACCGCUGCCCAAGGCUGAUUAUGACGAGCCCCCGAAAAGCCAAGCAUUGGCCGAUUAUGACGCAGCACGGUCCGUGCGGGACGUUGCCGGCUUCCCCAAUGGUUUCGUCGACUUCAUCGAGAUCGAACAUUGUUUCAAAUGGUCUAAGUUUAUCAACAUGAGGAGUUUCAAGACGACGGCCUAUCUUGAUUUCCUAGAUACCAUCAGUGAUAAUGACCUCCUUAGGCAUCAUGAAGAGGACAUUAUGGAGGAUAAAAUUGAGUGUGCACCUGAUGGCUGGAAGAUCCGAACAGGCUUUAGGAACAUUUCUUGGAACCAUUGGAGAAAAGGGUACAAUUUCCAUGUUGAUGACAUAUCAGCCGAACCACAACUUGCUCUGGAGCUACUUCACCUGUGGGAUAGUACAAGUGAGAAAUGCAGAGUGACAAACCUGAAGACUACACCAGGCUUCCCGACCUUCACCAUUUAUGAUUGUGCUGUUGUCCUCAUGUCUAAGGUGGGUGCCGACCAAGUCACAUGGAUGCUUGGUGUAAAUCUUGGGAAUAAGUCGCUGGAAGUCAUCAAGCCAUACCGUGCCUUGAGAGUCGAUUAUUACAAUCCGACCUUCAUUUCCUGUGAAUUCUCCAAAUAUCUGAAUACCGCUCCAAUUCAAAGGCCAUGUGAUGAGGAAGUUGCAGCAGAGUCUGCUCCGAAUGAGGAAGUUGCGGCAGAGUCUGCGCAGAAUGGUGUGCCUAAUGAUCAACUUCCAUUGGGGGAUACUGUUCCAAACAAUGUGGUAUAG